rnacentral:lncRNA from 1 species
UUGAUGGCGACGUAAUUCAACCAUCGAGAAGUCCUUGGGCAUCACCUGUCGUGUUGGUUAAGAAGAAAGAUGGUUCACUACGAUCCUAAGUCGACUACCGCAAACUGAACAACAUCACGAAAAAAGACGUAUAUCCUCUUCCUCGCAUCGAUGACUCCUUGGAUCGCCUGCGUCACGCCCGUAAUUUCUCUUCGAUGGAUCUCCGUAGCGGGUAUUGCCAGAUUGAAGUAGACGAAGG